UACGGAGGGUGCUAGCGUUGUUCGGAAUUAUUGGGCGUAAAGCGCGUGUAGGCGGUUGGGUAAGUCAGAUGUGAAAGCCUUCCGCUCAACGGAAGAAGUGCAUUUGAAACUGCUCGGCUAGAGUACGGGAGAGGAGAGUGGAAUUCCCGGUGUAGAGGUGAAAUUCGUAGAUAUCGGGAGGAACACCAGUGGCGAAGGCGGCUCUCUGGUCCGAUACUGACGCUGAGACGCGAAAGCGUGGGGAGCAAACAGG
rnacentral:rRNA from 1 species